GACGAACCGAGCGAACGCUGUUCGGAAUCACUGGGCUUAAAGGGCGCGUAGGCGGGCUGCCAAGUUUGGGGUGAAAUCCACCGGCUCAACCGGAGAAGGGCCUCGAAUACUGGCGGUCUGGAGGGAGGUAGGGGCGUGCGGAACUAACGGUGGAGCGGUGAAAUGCGUUGAUAUCGUUAGGAACUCCGGUGGCGAAGGCGGCACGCUGGACCUUUUCUGACACUGAGGCGCGAAAGCCAGGGGAGCGAACGGG
rnacentral:rRNA from 1 species